GGUGAGAUGGCCGAGUUGGUUAUGGCGCCAGGUUAAGGUUACCUUAAUAGCGUUUCCUGGUGGGGCAACCCUCGUGGGUUCAAAUCCCACUCUCAUCA
rnacentral:tRNA from 1 species